rnacentral:rRNA from 1 species
UACAGAGGGUGCGAGCGUUAAUCGGAAUUACUGGGCGUAAAGCGUGCGUAGACGGCUAUCUAAGUCGGGUGUGAAAGCCCCGGGCUCAACCUGGGAAUUGCAUUCGAGACUGAAUAGCUAGGGUACGGUAGAGGGAAGCGGAAUUUCCGGUGUAGCGGCGAAAUGCGUAGAUAUCGGAAGGAACAUCAGUGGCGAAAGCGGCUUCCUGGACCAGUACCGACGUUCAGGCACGAAAGCGUGGGGAGCAAACAGG